rnacentral:rRNA from 1 species
CCAGUAGUCAUAUGCUUGUCUCAAAGACUAAGCCAUGCAUGUCUAAGUAUAAACAAAUUUGUACUGUGAAACUGCGAAUGGCUCAUUAAAUCAGUUAUAGUUUAUUAGAUGAUACCUUGCUACAUGGAUAACUGUGGUAAUUCUAGAGCUAAUACAUGCGUCAAAGCCGCGACUUCUGGAAGCGGUGUAUUUAUUAGAUAAAAAACCAACGCGGUUCGCCGCUCCCUUGGUGAUUCAUAAUAACUUCUCGAAUCGCAUGGCCUUGCGCCGGCGAUGCUUCAUUCAAAUAUCUGCCCUAUCAAGUUUAGAUGGUAGGAUAGAGGCCUACCAUGCUUUCAACGGGUAACGGGGAAUAAGGGUUCGAUUCCGGAGAGGGAGCCUGAGAAACGGCUACCACAUCCAAGGAAGGCAGCAGGCGCGCAAAUUACCCAAUCCCGACACGGGGAGGUAGUGACAAUAAAUAACAAUAUGGGGCUCAUACGGGUCCCAUAAUUGGAAUGAGUACAAUUUAAAUCCCUUAACGAGGAACAAUUGGAGGGCAAGUCUGGUGCCAGCAGCCGCGGUAAUUCCAGCUCCAAUAGCGUAUAUUAAAGUUGUUGCCGUUAAAAAGCUCGUAGUUGAACUUUCAUGGGCUCAUGCGGUCUGCCUCACGGCAAGUACUGUGUGGGCCCGUGCUCCUGGAUGGUGAGCCGUCAUGUCGUUUACUCGGUGUGGCGGGGAACCAUCUCUGUUACCUUGAGAAAAUUAGAGUGUUCAAAGCAGGCCUAUGCCCGAAUACAUUAGCAUGGAAUAACGAAAUAGGACGUGCGGUUCUAUUUUGUUGGUUUCUAGAGUCGCCGUAAUGAUUAAUAGGGAUAGUUGGGGGCAUUAGUAUUCAGUUGCUAGAGGUGAAAUUCUUGGAUUUACUGAAGACUAACUACUGCGAAAGCAUUUGCCAAGGAUGUUUUCAUUAAUCAAGAACGACGUUAGGGGAUCGAAACGAUCAGAUACCGUUGUAGUCUUAACAGUAAACUAUGCCGACUAGGGAUCGGACGACUCAUUUUAAUGGUGUCGUUCG